rnacentral:tRNA from 1 species
AGAGUAUAGCUCAGGGUAGAGUGUGUGCUUAGCAUGCACAAGGUCCUGGGUUCAACACCCAGUACCUCUG